UGCGGCGGGAAGGGUUUGCGGUGGCCUGGCCGCUGAGGGCGGCUUCGGCUUUGCGGCGUUCGGCUUCGCGGUCGGCGCGU
rnacentral:tRNA from 1 species